rnacentral:rRNA from 1 species
GAUCUGCGUGUGUGCGCACGCCGCGCCCGGCGGAUAACGCGGGGCGCGGCGGGCGAAGGUGUAUGAGAAGCCUUUUUUGUUGUAAAGUUCUUUUUGUGAGGAGGAAGGCGUUGGGGUUAAUACCCUUAUUGAUUGACGUUACCCGCAGAAGAAGCACCGGCUAACUCCGUGCCAUCUUUAUAGGUAAUAAAAAAAACCUAUCUA